AGAAUCAACGCUGGCGGCGUGCCUAACACAUGCAAGUCGCACGAGAAAGUAGACUUCGGUCUGCGAGUAAAGUGGCGCACGGGUGAGUAACACGUGAAUUAUCUACCUCCGAGUGGGGAAUAACUUCGGGAAACCGAGGCUAAUACCGCAUAACACUUACGAGUCAAAGCAGCAAUGCGCUUGGAGAGGAGUUCGCGGCAGAUUAGUUAGUUGGCGGGGUAAUGGCCCACCAAGACGAUGAUCUGUAUCCGGCCUGAGAGGGCGCACGGACACACUGGAACUGAAACACGGUCCAGACUCCUACGGGAGGCAGCAGUGGGGAAUUUUGCGCAAUGGGGGAAACCCUGACGCAGCAACGCCGCGUGGAGGAUGAAGUCCCUUGGGACGUAAACUCCUUUCGAUCGGGACGAUAAUGACGGUACCGGAAGAAGAAGCCCCGGCUAACUUCGCGCCAGCAGCCGC
rnacentral:rRNA from 1 species